GGGCAUAUGGUGGAUGCCUAGGCGUUCCGAGCCGAUGAAGGACGCGAUAAGCUGCGAUAAGUCAUGGGGAGCCGCAAGUAGGCUUUGAUCCAUGGAUCUCCAAAUGGGGCAACCCGGUACGAGUCAUGUCGUACCAUCCGAAAGGAAGGCACACCCGGUGAACUGAAACAUCUAAGUAGCCGGAGGAAGAGUAAUCAAACGAGAUUCCCUCAGUAGCGGCGAGCGAACAGGGAAGAGCCCAAACCGGACGUCUUCGGACGACCGGGGUUGAGGACCAGCAUCAAGGGAAGGCAAGAUAGUCGAACAGUCUGGGAAGGCUGAGCAUAGACGGUGAAACUCCGGUAGACGAAAUCUUACCCAACGGGCUGGUAUCCAGAGUACCACGAGACACGUGAAACCUUGUGGGAAGCAGGGUGGACCACCAUCCAAGGCAAAAUACUACGGAACGACCGAUAGCGCAUAGUACCGUGAGGGAAAGGUGAAAAGAACCGCGGGAGCGGAGUGAAAUAGAACCUGAAACCGUAUGUCU
rnacentral:ncRNA from 1 species